AGUGAACGCUGGCGGCAGGCCUAACACAUGCAAGUCGAGCGGCAGCGGGUCCCCACGAGGGGAUGCCGGCGAGCGGCGGACGGGUGAGGAACACAUCGGAAUCUGCCUGGUUGUGGGGGAUAACGCAGGGAAACUUACGCUAAUACCGCAUGCGACCCUGAGUCGACGGACUUGGGGUGAAAGUGAGGGACCUUCGGGCCUCACGCGACCAGAUGAGCCGAUGUCGGAUUAGCUAGUUGGCGGGGUAACGGCCCGCCAAGGCGACGAUCCGUAGCUGGUC
rnacentral:rRNA from 1 species